rnacentral:rRNA from 1 species
UACGAAGGGGGCUAGCGUUGUUCGGAAUUACUGGGCGUAGAGGGCGCGUAGGCGGCCGUUUAAGUUAGGUGUGAAAGUCCUGGGCUCAACCUGGGGACUGCACUUAAUACUGGAUGGCUUGAAUUCGGGAGAGGAUAGCGGAAUUCCCAGUGUAGAGGUGAAAUUCGUAGAUAUUGGGAAGAACACCGGUGGCGAAGGCGGCUAUCUGGACCGACAUUGACGCUGAGGCGCGAAAGCGUGGGGAGCAAACAGG